rnacentral:misc_RNA from 1 species
GUCCUUGAAGGUUGCCUCAUCUAACAACACAAACUCAGUGCUGGCAGUUGUAUAGUAAUCAAAAUGUGUGGUAAAGUUCUUCUUGCACGUUUCUUCAAGUAUUUUACAUGAGGGGAUUGCCGAAACUGCUUGUAAAAUAGGACAGACUGUAUCCUGCAACAAACUUUCAGAUGUUAGACAAGAUCUAACAACUUCUCCAAAAUCUUCAGAGGCCUUGUCCAUUAA